UGCCGGGAGCGUGGCCGGUUCCCGCCAAAGCGACGCUGUCUCGGGCUCUCGGACGCUCGCUGCCAAAGCCCCGCCUCUCAGAGCUCGACGCCACCCUGGGGCGCCUGCGCCAACAGGCUCCUAGUGAGGCCGCCUGGCCUGCGGUCGGUUCCAGCCCUGCCGGCCUUUCCGCCCUCGGGACCCGGGAGACUCCGUGGCUACCUAGACAAUGAGCGGUUCCUUACAGACCACUGGUCUCCCUCUCCAGUGCGAGCCCCAAGUGGAUGCCGCCGUCUUUCACCAGCUUCCUCACUGGUUGUCUACUAUACUUUGUGCUCAACAGCCUCUUCUCCAAACAGUGUGGAAGCGCUUGAAGAAUGACAGAGUCUGGCCGAGGAGCGGGACUGGGAAGGCGGCGCCGGGGAGCGUGCUGCCGGGUGGGCGGUGUACUGUGCUUUGAUCCGGAAGGGGUGGAUUCCCGGGUGCUAUUUACUUUAAAAACCCAUUGAGCUGUGCACUGACAAGUACUGCGUGUUACUGCACGCGUGUUAUAGUCCAGUAAAAGUCACCCCCUGAAACAUGA